GAUCGUUGACCCCAUGUCAGGCGGGACUACCCGCUGAAUUU
rnacentral:rRNA from 1 species